rnacentral:tRNA from 1 species
GCAUUAGUAGCUCAGCUCAGAGCACCGGUCUUGUAAACCGGACGUCGAGGGUUAAAUCCCCUCCUAUUGUU